rnacentral:tRNA from 1 species
GGUUGCGCUGGUCGAGCAGGGCCUCGCCGAGCUCGCGGGCCGGGUCGGCGAGGAGGUUGGCCAGCGCCGGUUCGGGGUCCCAGUCGGGGCCG